GCGCCCUUAGCUCAACUGGAUAGAGCAUCUGACUACGGAUCAGAAGGUUAGGGGUUCGACUCCCUUAGGGCGUGCCA
rnacentral:tRNA from 1 species